GAUGAACGCUGACAGAAUGCUUAACACAUGCAAGUCUUUGGCGAAUCUGUGCUUGCACAGGCUAGCCAAGGCGGACGGGUGAGUAACGCGUAAAGAACUUGCCCUGCAGACAGGGAUAACAGACGGAAACGACUGAUAACACCUGAUACAGUUGCCGGCACGCAUGUGCCUGGCAAUGAAAAGAGAUGCUGCAGGAGAGCUUUGCGUCCUAUUAGCUUGUUGGUGAGGUGACGGCUCACCAAGGCGAUGAUAGGUAGCCGGCCUGAGAGGGUGAACGGCCACAAGGGGACUGAGAUACGGCCCUUACUCCUACGGGAGGCAGCAGUGGGGAAUAUUGGACAAUGGGGGCAACCCUGAUCCAGCAAUUCUGUGUGCACGAAGAAGGUUUUCGGAUUGUAAAGUGCUCUCAGCAGGGAAGAAGAAAGUGACGGUACCUGCAGAAGAAGCGACGGCUAAAUACGUG
rnacentral:rRNA from 1 species